rnacentral:rRNA from 1 species
AGUGAACGCUGGCGGUAGGCCUAACACAUGCAAGUCGAACGGCAGCACAGUAAGAGCUUGCUCUUACGGGUGGCGAGUGGCGGACGGGUGAGGAAUACAUCGGAAUCUACUUUUUCGUGGGGGAUAACGUAGGGAAACUUACGCUAAUACCGCAUACGACCUACGGGUGAAAGCAGGGGAUCUUCGGACCUUGCGCGAUUGAAUGAGCCGAUGUCGGAUUAGCUAGUUGGCGGGGUAAAGGCCCACCAAGGCGACGAUCCGUAGCUGGUCUGAGAGGAUGGUCCGCCACCCUGGAACUUGGACACGGUCCAGACUCCUACGGGAGGCAGCAGUGGGGAAUAUUGGACAAUGGGCGCAAGCCUGAUCCAGCCAUACCGCGUGGGUGAAGAAGGCCUUCGGGUUGUAAAGCCCUUUUGUUGGGAAAGAAAAGCAGCAGGUUAAUACCCCGCUGUUCUGACGGUACCCAAAGAAUAAGCACCGGCUAACUUCGUG